GCGGGAGUAGCUCAGUCUGGUCUAGAGCGGCUGCCUUCCAAGUAGUAGGUCGUGGGUUCGAAUCCCAUCUCCCGCUCCG
rnacentral:tRNA from 1 species